GGGUCAGUAGGUUGGUCGUGCCACCGGUACGUACUGGUCUCACUGAUUCCUCCUUCCUGAAGAACCGUAAUGCCAUUAAUUGGGUGUUGCGGGGAAACAGGACUGUUACUUUGAAAAAAUUAGAGUGUUUAAAGCAAGCUAACGCUUGAAUACAUUAGCAAGGAAUAAUGAAAUAGGACGAUCGAUCCUAUUUUGUUGGUUUCUAGGAUUGACGUA
rnacentral:rRNA from 1 species